rnacentral:rRNA from 1 species
UACGGAGGGUGCAAGCGUUGCUCGGAAUUACUGGGCGUAAAGCGUGCGCAGGCGGCUAACUAAGUCGGAUGUGAAAUCCCUGGGCUCAACCCAGGAACUGCAUUCGAAACUGAUUGGCUUGAAUGCGGGAGAGGAGAGCGGAAUUCCUGGUGUAGAGGUGAAAUUCGUAGAUAUCAGGAGGAACACCGGUGGCGGAAGCGGCUCUCUGGCCCGACAUUGACGCUCAUGCACGAAAGCGUGGGGAGCAAACAGGAUUAGAUACCCUGGUAGUCCACGCCGUAAACGAUGGAUGCUAGCUGCCGGAAACGUCUACCGUUUCGGUGGCGAAGCUAACGCAUUAAGCAUCCCGCCUGGGAAGUACGGCCGCAAGGUUG